UAAGCUGUAGAUCAAAGAAAGAUAUGUCAU
rnacentral:piRNA from 1 species